rnacentral:rRNA from 1 species
GACGAACGCUGGCGGCGUGCUUAACACAUGCAAGUCGAACGGAAAGGCCCUGCUUUUGUGGGGUGCUCGAGUGGCGAACGGGUGAGUAACACGUGAGUAACCUGCCCUUGACUUUGGGAUAACUUCAGGAAACUGGGGCUAAUACCGGAUAGGAGCUCCUGCUGCAUGGUGGGGGUUGGAAAGUUUCGGCGGUUGGGGAUGGACUCGCGGCUUAUCAGCUUGUUGGUGGGGUAGUGGCUUACCAAGGCUUUGACGGGUAGCCGGCCUGAGAGGGUGACCGGCCACAUUGGGACUGAGAUACGGCACAGACUACUACGGGAGGCAGCAGUGGGGAAUAUUGCACAAUGGGCGGAAGCCUGAUGCAGCAAAGCCGCGUGCGGGAUGACGGCCUUCGGGUUGUAAACCGCUUUCGCCUGUGACGAAGCGUGAGUGACGGUAAUGGGUAAAGAAGCACCGGCUAACUACGUG